CACAUGACUCUCGGCAACGGAUAUCUCGGCUCUCGCAUCGAUGAAGAACGUAGCAAAAUGCGAUACCUGGUGUGAAUUGCAGAAUCCCGCGAACCAUCGAGUUUUUGAACGCAAGUUGCGCCCGAGACCUUCUGGUCGAGGGCACGUCUGCCUGGGCGUCACGC
rnacentral:rRNA from 1 species